CCUCCGAUAGCUCACUGGUAGAGCAUCCGGUAAGAAUUGCCGAAUUCAAAUGUGUUUAUAUCAUAUUUCCUGGAGAUGCUGGUUCGACUCCAGCUCGGAGGG